AUUGAACGCUGGCGGCAGGCCUAACACAUGCAAGUCGAACGAGUGGCGGACGGGUGAGUAAUGUCUGGGAAACUGCCUGAUGGAUGGGGAUAACUACUGGAAACGGUAGCUAAUACCGCAUACCAUCGGAUGUGCCCUGAUGGGAUUAGCUAGUAGGUGGGGUAACGGCUCACCGAGGCGACGAUCCCUAGCUGGUCUGAGAGGAUGACCAGCCACACUGGAACUGAGACACGGUCCAGACUCCUACGGGAGGCAGCAGUGGGGAAUAUUGCGCAAUGGGCGCAAGCCUGAUGCAGCCAUGCCGCGUGUAUGAAGAAGGUCUUCGGAUCGUAAAGUACUGUCAGCGGGGAGGCGGUACCCGCAGAAGAAGCACCGGCUAACUCCGUGCCAGCAGCCGCGGUAAUUC
rnacentral:rRNA from 1 species